CUCUGGAGGCGCGGCUGGCCCCUCCCCGCUUUUGCAGCUGCUGGGGGCCGGGAGCCGGCUGGAUGCGGUACCUGUCUCUGAAAUCUCUCAGCGGUCUCCCACGCUUCCUUACAUCCACUGCUCCAAACCUCCCCUCUUACCGCUGCACCGUUCUGAUGGUCUUCUCACCACCCUCUGCCAGAUAGUACUGAUCAAGCUGAAUCAUCUGUCCCUCCUCUGUACAAGGCCUGGCACAUUGCCUAAGGUAGAGCAGGCUCACUUCUUGGUUGAAUGAACAAAUAGCUCAAAUAGCAUAUGCAAAGAAAACAAGAAAGAUGAGAGUGCUCCUAAUAUUCAUUCAAUCUGAAGACAAAGAAAAAAAAAAGAAGACAAGAAAUGGAUUUUGAAUCCUUUUUUUAUAUUCUUAUUUGUAUGUGUAUGUGUCCCUAUAUGAGGCACUAAUAAAACUGAUGAUUAUCCA